rnacentral:lncRNA from 1 species
UGCAAAAGGGAACGUACAUUUCCAUUGAUACAGAGCAACAAUAAACACUGUUUGGAAAACAAUGUAGUGUGUCAAAGGCAGACUGGUUGCUUUAUCUCUUUAUGUACCUCCAGCAACAUUAGUAGGAAUUUGCUUCAGACCAAAGUAAGGGGAGAAGGAGGUGAUAUCAAGCACAGUCUGAGUGUGUAAGCCUUUGCUUCUAGUAAGUUUGAUCUUCCUGUGACAUACAACUUCAAUAGCAAGACUCUCACUGACUGUAAAAGAUUCUGGUACAGACCUUGAUAAUAAUGUCAUGCGUUUGUGGGGUUGCUAAGAGGGAAAGAGAAAAAAUUCAUUAGUAACAUUUCAGUUCAUGUUUCUGAAAUGACUUCCAGCUUGUUUCCUACAGAAUCUACAAAGGCUCGUUGCAAUGCAGCUCAUCACAAGACAUCUACCAGACUUUUGUGUUCAUUAAGUUUACUUUAGUCAUCACUACAGUUCAGCUUUGGGGCGGAAGCAGAUCAUGGAACUGGUUUACAUAUUGAGUUUUUUCAAAUCUAAGUACCACAGUAGCACUUAAUUUCAAAGAAAUGACUAAGUGUGCAGCUGUGUGUAAAUAACAAUUAAUUGACAAAUUAAAACACAUUAUGGCCAAAAUUUAGGCCACAUAUAUGAUUUAUUUUCAUUUCUAAUGUUAUUCUGCUUGUACUGGUGUUGUGUUGAUGACAAGAAAACAUGUAUAAAGAAAAUGCGUAAUUUUUUCAUUUAAUCAAAUCCACCUGAAAAUUCAGUGAAAUAUUUAACAAUAUUCAUGACAUGGAAACCUGGCCAGGUUUGCUGCUGGGUUUCCUCACUGGGAACUUUCUGAGGCUGUUGCUGCUCUCUGUAGCUGGAUGAGUGACUGCAAAUGGGAGUAUUUUCCCAUUUAUUCCUUAUUCUCUAUAAUUUUGUCUAAUCUGUAACAUUUUUGAAAUGUCUCAUUUUUUGUUCUUUUUGGAUGCUGUUUCACAGGUCAGUGUACUCCACUGCCACAGAGCUUUUCUAGCUUUUUUUUUUUUUUUUUUUUUUGCAUUGGCUACAACCCUCAAUAAACUCGCGGUGUCGUUGCCCCGCAGGGCCAUGCCGCCUGGUGUGCUGGGAGGGCGCCGAAACACAGCAGGGGUUUGGGAGCAGGCUUGUCAGCAGCGAGCAGAGGGCAAGUGGGAGAACAUCCCUCUGAACAUAAAGAUCAACUCCUUAGCCUGGCCCAGUCCAUGUGUCUAUGUCCUUAUGUGGCAGGACUGA